rnacentral:lncRNA from 1 species
CUGCAUCCACCCAAACCUCCUAGCUGCUUCUUGGUGGUAGGCCGUCUGAGGGAACCAAUUGGAUCCAAAUUUAUUUUGCUAACCAUCUCAGGGCAGCUGCACCCUGGGGCCAGGCAGGCCUCCUAUGGCACACUCAGGCCCAGCGGUGAGUGGGGACAGAUGGAAGCUGCACUGGGAAGCUAUGACGGUCACCGGGAGACUGAGUUAGAGGAACUCUUAAGAAGGGAUGUGGGCCAGGUGGUGGCUGCGACUUGACUGUCAGAGGGAGCUGAAUGUUCUCGGAAAGACGAUGCCAGUGUUCCGAGGUACCACGCCAGGUGCUGGAAUGCAAGGUGAGGAUGACAAACUGAGAAGUGCUGUAGAGACAGGGGACAAGGAACUGCCUGGGAAGGUGCGUGAGGGCUUCCGUAGAGGUGCCCAUGGAGCCGGGUGUGGAGGAAGGUGAGGCUGGUCUGGCGGGUGGCUAAGAGGCCGUGUGGAGGGCGUCCAGCGAGGCCACUGCGUGGGCCAUGUCAAGGUGCUGGGAACCUCAGCCUGUGCGCAGGCUAUGGCAUGUGGUUCCUUUUGCUGAUCGUGGAUGGACGGUGGGAGCUGACUCAGGGAAAGGAACUGGGGAGGCCAAACUCAACAAAUGAUGACAGAGGAGGCAGCUUAACAAACACUUCAGGAACGCACUAUUAGUAACAGAAAAUAGCUGGAAACGCCCAAAUGUUCACCGUGAAAGGAAUGGUGAGACAACCGGAGGCGUGUCCCCACAGCCAAGUGCUCUGCUGCGUGAAAAAGAGCAAAGCGAGUUUAUGUAUGCAAACACGGAAGGAAAUCCAACCCAGACUGUCGACUGGAAAAAGCACAUUGCAAAAGAAUGCAUAAUCUGGGAGAUAUACGUAUGCAAAGAAAAAACCCAAAUGUAUAUUUCAAAGGCUCUCACAUGUGUCCAUAAUGGCUUCACGUUUGCACGUGCUCAGGAAAAGAUCUGGAAAGAUAAAACACAAAUUGUUAUUGGUGGUUAUUUCGGGGCAGUGGGAGGAUGGUAGCAGGAAUGACCGUGGGAACCUACCCUGUUUUUUACAUAAAGGUUGUAUUCAUCCCUCCAUUCCUGGGCUGUGACCAGGGUGUGAGCAAAGGGUAGCACCAGCCCACAGCCUGAGAAUGCACUUUACUGGGGGCUUGGGAAGAAGGCACAGAAGGCUAUCGCCCCAAUUAUAUUUUGACUCUUCUCUUCCAGUCCUCCCAAGCUCGGCUUUCCACUUACACUACUCAUGGUCUCUAAUAAAUGGCGUGCCCCUCAUUACUGAUAUCUGUUUUCUGCUGGCAGGAUUAGCGCGUUCUUUGGGCGACCGGCUGCGGUUCUCAAGACUGAUAAGGAAGCCUGCACCAAUCUCUGUUGGAGGCCAGCGUCCUGAUAAGCGUGCUCUCUGUCUCCAGGCAUCUUCCGUGGAAUCCCUCUGGGAGGGUUUUGCCUGGUACCCUAAUGCUCGUGGAAUGAACACACCGGAGGCCUGCUGUCUGGGUCUGCAGAUAGAUGAGGGUGAGAGGCUGCGUGAACCACUUCUUGCUUUGCAAGAAGCAGGCGCUGCCCUCAGAGGUCAAAUGACGAGGGUGGUGGCAGGCAUUCCGUUGCAAGACAUUUGGAUGUGUGUCCAACAGCCCUUAGCAGGGCAGGCCUGGGAAUCAGGAGACGUGGGCUGGAGUGAUCUGCAUAGAGUUAUGUUGAAGUUUUUACUUUGGCAAAAAAAAGAAAAGAAGAAGAAAUAUUUUUCUGAUGACAUAUAGCUGAGAAGUCUAUAAAUGUUUUAGGAUGACAUAGUCGGGGGGAAUCCUGGAUCAUAUCUAAAAAGAUGGAGUUUCAUAAGAAAAAUUGACUUGGCUUCAGGAAAACCAAUUGCACAGAUAUAAGGAAGAUGUGUCUGAAUGAUGGCAGGUGUGUGAGGGGCUGCGGAUCCAGAGGAUGACGUAAUGCAUUCAAGGGGUGAGAGACGCAGCCGCAGGAUGCAUUCACAACAGUGUAGAACGUGGAACGAAGGCACAGAGGACAAUCCUGGAUCCUCUGGGAAGCUCACUUUCUCAGAACUGGUUGGAAGAAGUAAUUUCCCAGGAGUCCCAUUCUAGUCACAGAAAGAACUUUCUAAGAGUGAGAGCUGUCCGAGGAUACAUAGGUUUCCUUGGAUCAGAGUGAGCUCCCUGUCGCUGGAUGUAUGCAAGCAGCCACAGGGCAGGGAGGCUGCACAGGGCCAGGUACCAGGGCUGUUCUCAUUGUCAUCUUCCUUCCCAGCAGUGGCACCAUGCAUGGCUCAGACACAAGCCAUAAUAAUUGCCUAAUUAGUGAAUUGAUGAAUAUCACAAAUCUGGAGAAAAUCGAUGGGCUGCGGUGUUCCUUCCAGGUCUGGAUGCUAUGGUGCCAUGAAAUCCCCACGAGAGAAGAGGCAUCUACUAGUUUCUUACUUCUGCUGUAACAAAUCACCACUAACUUAGUGGGCUAAAACAACACACAUUUAUUCUCCUGAAGUUCUGGAGGUCAGAAGUCCAAAAUCAGGACCCCUGGGCUGAAGUCAAGGUGUUGGCAGGGCUGGCUCCUUACAGAAGCUUUCAGGGUAGAUUCCGUCUCCUGCCUUUUCAGUUUCUAGAGGCCACCUGGAUUCCUCGACUCGUGGCCCCUUCCUCCAUCCUCAAAGCUCUCAGCUCCAAGCUCUUCCUACAUCGUCACUUUCCCUUCUCUCUUCUGUGGUCGCAUCUCCCUCUGCCUCCUGCAUAUAAGAACAUUUGUGAUUCCACUAGUGACGCACCCAGAUAAUCCAGGGUAACCUCUCCAUGUCGAGAGAGAUGUCUCCAUCUUCAUCACAUCUGCAAAGUCCCUUUUGCCACAUAAGGAAAAUUCUCAAGUGCCAGGGACUAGGGUAUGGCCACUUUCGUGGUGGGGGAGGGGGGGAGCAUGAGUUAUUUAAAUUACCACCGGGUGGAAGAGAAUAAAACCAGGAGUGGGUUAUUGGAGGCACCUCCCUGUCUGGGGAAGGGAAGAAAGUGGAACUAGGGAAGGAGGCAGAAGAAAGAAGCCACGAAGUUCAGAGGACCCACGACCACGUGGUGACCAGCAACCUGGGGAGAAGGAUACGGGGGAGUUGGAAAGAGAAGGUGGUGGCCAGGGUGGAGAAAGAUCAGGGUUUGGCCUGACUCUUUCACUGUAGCAUCCUCAGUUCCUGGAGCUGUGCCUGACAUAUAGUAGCUUCUCAAUAAGGGUGCGUUGAAUGAAUGAAUAACUGGGGAUGUUGCUACUGGCUGAAGAAACAGCUGUGCUGGUGGGCCUGGGUCAGCAUCUUCCCAAGGCCGGGCUCUGUAAAUCCCCGUGGGAAGCUGAGAUACGGGCUGGGCAUGACCUGUGCCAGAAUGAGAACUGGGCCCCGACGAGGCUAGCCUCUCCACCUGCUCUGUUUCAGAGGCUCGGCGGCCGCCUUCAGAGCAUGAGCUUUGUGUAAGGUUGCAUUGAACCCAGAGAAAAGGUGAAGGCAUGCGGCCCGGAAUACUGAUGGGGAUUUGGCACGCAGAAGUGAGAGCUCUGCGCAGUUUAAGGCCUUGGGUUUUGUCCCACUUUCUGAAGGAGAAGAUGUGAGACUUAGCAAGCACCGAGCGUCCACGUGUACACGCCAAGGAACAGAUACCGUGCCAAUGAGCAAACUGUGAUUCAGAAAACCUUCUCCCUCUUCCAAUCUUUCCUGCUUCGGAGACAGAACGCAAAUGUCCCUGCGUUCCAGCUGUAACGCAAGUCUUGCCGCUGAUUAAAGGGCAGACCUGGAAACUCUCCGGUGAGCUAUGCUCCUAACUAUGUCUCCUGCUCACUCCAUCCAGCAGACAGAGGACAGCUUUUCCUUGCUGUUUAUUCACUGGAGCUGCUGGGGCCCUUCACAUUUAAUUAUGUGUGCUUGCAAAAUAAAUGUGGAAUGAAAUGUUCGCAUUCCCCGAAGUUGAUGCUGUGGCAGGCCGGGAUGAGUGAGGAUGCUGUCUCUGUGCCGAGCAUAGCGGGGGCUUUGAGCCUUGUGCAGACGGAUGGAUGCUGCGAAAGCCAGAGCGCCUUACAUUCCUCUGCUGGGUUGGUACCAGGCAUGCACAUGUCAGCCUCCUGUUAAGGGCUUUGAUAUUGGAUUUCUUAGAAUUCGGAGACAGUUAUUCAUUUAUCAAAGCCUACAAGUUAGUGCAGAAUAAACUCUCUGUAAGGCACUAUGCUGACUCUUAGCAGAGGAGGCUCCGGGCUGUAGGUUCAUUCAUUGAAUCGAUCCUUCAUUCGUUCAUCCAGUACCCACGGGUGUCUACCUUGUACCAGGCACUGCAAACACAAGGUGAAAAGGACUGGCCUCUGUUGGCUGGAGUUGGUGGGUGACAAGCAUGCAAUCAGCCUCCCUCGGGCUCCAUGUGGGAGACAGGGUCUGUAUAACGCCCUCCGGGUGCACAGAGGAUGGAGUGACCAUCAACCUGGGGAAGGUGCGGGAAGCCUCCAAUGGAGGGGCAUUGGUGGGAUCUUGAAGGGGGAGGAGCGAUUUGAUUUUCCAGGUAACCAAGUAAGGGGUGGGGAGAGCGUGGGUCCCAGGGAGAGGGGAAGAGCAGCCUCUGACACCUGCCCAGAAGUUUGUUCAUGUGUCAGUUCAGGGCGUCUGAUGGGCAGGGCAGAGGGUGAGGGGAGAAACGGCCAGGACAGAUGGUAAAGAUCCGCAAGUCUUGUUUUUCCCUGCAAGUAAUAGGAUUACAGUGAAGAUAUUUAAACAAAGGAGCAGCAUGGCUGAUGGGGGGCAGCAUGACAGGUGAAUCCGGGAGAUGAGAGCCUGGAGGCUGGGAGGUGGGGGUAUGUUCCAGCUGCUGGACAGUACUGUGAGGACCACAGCUAAGCAGAGGGGAUGGAGAGAGAGGCCGGUCUCGUGAAGUGCUUAUUGAGGGGGUGUGUUCUGGGCUGAAUUGUGUCUCCCCCAUAAUUCAUAUAUUGAAGCCCUGACCCCCAGUACCUCAGUGUGACUGUAUUUGGAGACAGAGCCCUGAAACAGGUAACUAAGGUGAGUCAUUAAAGCAAGGGGAGAUGGCCAAGUGAGAGCAGUGGGAGCAUCCUCGUUUCUGGAAGGAAGAGAAAGGGAGGGACCAGCACUUUGGAGGAUACAGGGUUGAGGGGAGAGUUAGCCCAAGAGGUUUGCCUCUGCCCGUUUGAAGAUGGUGCUUCUGCCUCCUGUGCAGCGAAAUAAAGAUGCUCAGCCCGCUGGUCCCCAGCCUCCCGCCUUUGCAAAUGCUCUUCCGUCUUCCACCACCACCCGGCCUCUCUUCUACCCAACACGUGAGGCUAGUGGAGUUGACGACUCUCUUGCAUCCCUUCUCUCUCUUCAACCAAUCACAGUUCAUUUGUCGUAGAUCUCUGGCCCUUACACUUUAGUUCUUGAUUACGUGGCCAUCUUGCUUCCCCCAUCCCUUAUCACAGCUUCUCCAGGAGGAGGCUCUGCGCAUCUCUAGUCUUCUCACUACCCUCCACAGAGGCCUGCACCCAGAGUAGACCCACAGAGAAUGGAAUCGCAUCUCUGGCUGGGAGGAGGGAUGAAGGUGACUCAUUUUCCCAGGCAUCUGUCCACUGUCUGUGUUCCUCUCCCAUGAUGUCAGGGGUCACCCAGUGGAGUUACCACUCCAGUGAUGGCAGAGUUCCUCCUCUGGAAGCAGCCUGGUUUGUAUUCUUAAUCAUAACAAUAGACCCCACCACUUACAUCUGACACAUGACGGGAGGGACUUAUGCCAGGAUGGUCACAAGUGGGAUUGCACCCUGGACAGUGAGUGUGAAUGGACUGCUCUACCACCUCCAUUCCACAGAUGUGCCAGAAGGGCGCAGAGAGGGCUAGUGAGCUGCCCAAGAGAAUACGGGUGGGAAAGGUGAAGAGUUGCUUUGGGAAUCCAAACCCCAGCUCUGUGCUCCUCCCACCAUGGGUGCAGCCUCAUAAGAUUCUGAUAUUUAGCACCUAUGGGUGCUCACAACACGUGGACGAGAUUGGCUGAUCCAGUUUGGUGACAGGACAGAUUCUGGCUGAAUGAGCUGCUGGCAGCAAAGUGGCCAGAGGCUUUGACGAGGACAGACCAGUUUGCAACGUGUGGGUGAUGCCCCGUGAGCACAUAGGCAGAGACUGGAUUUAAUUUGGUUCCUUCUUAGAGACCAAAUGGCUCAAGAUUGGGGAAGGGGGAGCACCUCUGUCCCAGCAGGACCACGUGCUACCAUCUAGCAGCAUCAUCACUAGUCCACAAGAGCACUUCAUCUCGUGAGGAUUCACCAUGGAAGGUGCUGGAAGCUUUAUCCUGGGAGGCAGGGGGAUGGAAGGGCUGUCCAGGGGCCACCUGGAAAGAAGAAGUACCAAGGGUGGAAAGUUCCUUCAUCCUGCUUCCUGCUUACCUUAUUUUUAAACUAAGAAUAAAAACAACAAAAAUAAGUAGAAAAUAAUACUCAGAAAAGCAAAAAGGAAAAAUGAACUAGAAAGGAAAACCAUGAUGGAGGCAGGUUGAAAGCUGGGGAGAAAGGAUUAAAAAGGAUAAAUUCAAUAAUCUAACAUGAUCUGAGGGCAACGUUUAGCUCCUGGACCCUGAAGCCUCAGUCUGGGGACUCAGAGUGGGUGCUCCAGGCACCGGGAUGCAAAGCCAGCCCAGGGCUGAGCGCUCAGCCACUGCUCCAUGGUUCCCAGUGAGUGUGGAACAGCCUUGUGGGCCUUGGCCUCUGCUCUCGGUCCCUUGUGGCCCCUCUCUCCCCCUGGCGGCUUGUCCUUCACCAGGACAUGCUUUAUUCUUGGUUGCAGAGUUGCUGGUCCAUCUCUGGCUGGGAUGCAAAGCACAUCUUCUGGUCAAAGUCCUGCAGGGCAGUGCCUUCUGACUCUGCCCUAUUCUUGUCUGCUCAACCCUGUUAUCAGUGUCAUCAGAUGCAAACUUGGACCACCUGUGGAUAAAACUUGCAAACGACACAAGGCUGUGCAGGACAUUAAGUUUGCUGGAAAUAAUUCUGGAUCCAAAAAGACCCUGUGGGCUGGAUUUUGCAAUGAACAGAAUGUGCUGGAAUGUGGUCAAGAUGGCGCUGCCUCGGCAUCCUGGUGUGAGCACCAGAGAGCUUGUACUCUCCAUGUCCGAUUAUGAGAAAUGCCAGUCGAAGAACCCUACUGUGGCCAAUUUGUCUUAUCGUGUUACUUAAUGGCACUUACAUUAGAGAAUAUGUGACUCGUGUUUCUUUUUGAAUUCCUGCCAGGAAAAAGUUGGUUCUGACUCAAGGCCCACCAUCAUCCUUUUAUCUGUCAGUGGAAAUCUGUCAUGCUUCCCUUUUUGCAUCGUCUUCCAGGAAGCUCUGUGUGAAAGCUUGUGCCAAUGUCAUAACCAUCAAAUUUCAAGGGCCUGGAGGAACUAGCUAUGUCUUCCUUUCAUAUAUUUGCAGCUUCUCCAUUUUGCCUGUACUGCGUGCUGUGUCAUAUGUAUGUUUAUUAUAAGGCACUUGGAUAUCUUUAUAGACAGACUGGUGAGGACAGUUGGAUGGAAUGUGUUGGUUUCACGACAAGACAUCUGAAAAUGACACUUGAAGAGUCAGUCGGCUGUAAAUAUAGAUGAGUCAGGACCAUGCUGUGGCUGCCCAAGCAUCCCUGGACUCUGGGACUGAAAUAGCCCACCACGUCAAGGCUAGAGAAGGUUCUGGUUCCCCUGAGCUGUGCCCCAUCAGAUCAUGUUUGCAGCGUGGCCCUGAGUCCCAGGCUGGACUUUAAGAGGGGUGGGGGCAGGCAAGGUGUGUCUAAGCUGAUGGGCACCUUGGUCAGGGAAUGAGAAAGACUGACUCAAGGUGGUCUUUCUAAACACUUCCAGAUGAGGGGGUCCAGGGCGAGGAGCUGGAAGCUGGCUCAGUACAAGGAUUUCCCAGAUCAUUAGGUCCUAUGUGAAUUACUGGUGAUGAGGUCCCAGUCAAGAGAGGUUACCAAGAAGAGGCAUUUGGCUCCUUUCCUAGGAUAGUGUAGAGGGGUUUUGUGCACGAAGUGGAGUUGAGCUUCCAUCUGGGAAUCGAUUACUUCACAUCCUAUUGACAGACUGAUGUGGGAAAGCUUCUCAGCCGGUCAACCCAGCCACACAGAGACUCCUGGAGGCAUAGGGACCUUCCCAGCAUCUGAGCGCAUCCUCUUCUCCAUUUUUCAGGAAUCAACAUUUUGCCCUGCAGCCUGCUCUUCGUCUGGUCCCUCGCAUGUGUCCCAGGAUUCCAUUGUGACAUCCGACAAUUCAACUUCGCAGACAUCAAUUGAGAUCCUAGGGUGCAAAGUCAAGGCAGCCACAGGCCCUUGUCCUCUGGGAGGUCCCACGGCCUCAGGAGAGGCAGCCGCGGGACGGAGGAUCACAACAGACUGUGACAAGGAGGUCCAUGAUGGAAAUGUUGGGAGAGGGUGGGGGGUCCAAGACAAGCCCCACCCAGCUUGCAUGUGUGCCAAGCCCAGGGAAGUAUCUGGUUACAAAGUUGGGUAAGACUCGACCCCUGUGCUUAAGGAGCCCAGGUGGAGGGACUGGGCGUGGUGGGGAGGCAAACCCACACCCAGGUAACCACGUGUCAAGUGCAACUCAAGGCAUUACGGGUGCCUGGAGCUGUGCCACCCGGAAGUCACACUGGACAAGGAUGAGAGUGUGUGGCAUACAGAGGUAAGGGACAGUGAGGCGCAGUGAGCCUGAGUAGGGCGGGACACAGCGAAGAGGCGACCCUUGUGUCCAUCAGGUGGGAACAAGGCCAUCCAGGCAGAUGGGGCCUGGGCACAGGCGUCCACUGCGUCUUUUUGUUGUAUUGCCUCCCUAACUCUGGGGCUGUCAAUGGCAUCCUGCUCCUUGAUGAUAAUGGGGAAACCAAUCACACAAGGGACCGGGCUUUCUGAUGCUGAUUUCCCUUCAACAAUUUCCAGCUUUUUAAUAGGAUUCAUCCGCCAUUCUAGAGAGAGCACUUAAUGCCGUCCAGGAAAGGAGCUGGCAGUGAUACUAAAAGCCAAAGGAAGGAGAGAGGAGAAGGAGGCAGAGAGAAGCCAACACGAGGACUGAGAGACGUUUAAGCAAACCCGGGAAUGAACAGAGCGGGUGGGGAGAGCCCUUGGAGAGGCUGGGCCUCUUCCUGGCUAUGGGCAACUUCGGGGAAGGAAGGCUGAGCUCCGGGGUGCUCCCCCCAAUGGCUUGCACCCCUUAUUUCAGUAUUCUACUCCACACUCAGCCUGCACUAACAAGGAAUCAAAGACGUCUCUGAAGUCCCCAGUGAAUCCACUGUCCACUGCUCAUUGCCCCUUGACUGGAUCCGUCUUCACUGUGGAAAGAGCAUGCAUGUGUGAAUAGAGGCCCGGGGAGGCAGCCUGGGCAGCCCGCUUUUCUCAGGACCCCACUAAUGUGGCAUGGCCUGGGUGCUCACCACUGUGGACAUCUGAGCCUUUUAGACAAGAGGGCCAUUUGUCACCGUCAUUGGUUUCCAGGAAAGCGCCCUUGAGGCGGCCCCCGUCCUUCCUGGAGGUGCCAGGUUCUCAGCGUCUCCCUCUCAGUAUGGAAGCAUCGUGGAGAGGGCUGAAAG